rnacentral:rRNA from 1 species
GUUGUGCCAAAGAAGGGAGGGAAGGAGCGCAUGUGUGUCGACUUCACCAACCUCAACAAAGCAUGCCCGCAAGAUCCGUUCCCGCUCCCCCGCAUCGACCAGAUCGUCGAUUCCACCGCAGAAUGCGACCUGCUAUGCUUCUUGGAUGCCUUCUCCGGGUAUCACCAGAUAAAGAUGGCAGUAGAAGAUGUCGAAAAGACAGCCUUCCUAACCCCGUGUGGGGUGUACUGCUACACAUGCAUGCCAUUCGGGCUGCGUAACGCGGGGGCGACCUUUCAGCGGCUGAUGCGCAUCACCUUGGGACCGCAGCUUGGGAAGAAUGUUGAAGCUUAUGUCGAUGACAUUGUGGUAAAGUCUCGGGAGGCCAGGACCCUGAUACAAGACCUGGAGGAAACCUUCGCGAGCCUC